UCAUGGCUCAGAUUGAACGCUGGCGGCAGGCCUAACACAUGCAAGUCGAGCGGAUGAAAGGAGCUUGCUCCUGGAUUCAGCGGCGGACGGGUGAGUAAUGCCUAGGAAUCUGCCUGGUAGUGGGGGACAACGUUUCGAAAGGAACGCUAAUACCGCAUACGUCCUACGGGAGAAAGCAGGGGACCUUCGGGCCUUGCGCUAUCAGAUGAGCCUAGGUCGGAUUAGCUAGUUGGUGAGGUAAUGGCUCACCAAGGCGACGAUCCGUAACUGGUCUGAGAGGAUGAUCAGUCACACUGGAACUGAGACACGGUCCAGACUCCUACGGGAGGCAGCAGUGGGGAAUAUUGGACAAUGGGCGAAAGCCUGAUCCAGCCAUGCCGCGUGUGUGAAGAAGGUCUUCGGAUUGUAAAGCACUUUAAGUUGGGAGGAAGGGUUGUAGAUUAAUACUCUGCAAUUUUGACGUUACCGACAGAAUAAGCACCGGCUAACUCUGUGCCAGCAGCCGCGGUAAUACAGAGGGUGCAAGCGUUAAUCGGAAUUACUGGGCGUAAAGCGCGCGUAGGUGGUUUGUUAAGUUGGAUGUGAAAUCCCCGGGCUCAACCUGGGAACUGCAUCCAAAACUGGCAAGCUAGAGUAUGGUAGAGGGUGGUGGAAUUUCCUGUGUAGCGGUGAAAUGCGUAGAUAUAGGAAGGAACACCAGUGGCGAAGGCGACCACCUGGACUGAU
rnacentral:rRNA from 1 species